AAGCCCCGAGGUGUCAUCACAUCGGACUGCAAAUCCGAAGUCGGCAGCCCUGCCCGGGGCUU
rnacentral:tRNA from 1 species